rnacentral:rRNA from 1 species
UCCUUCUUUUUCUAGCGUUGUCCGGAAUCACUGGGCGUAAAGGGUUCGCAGGCGGAAAUGCAAGUCAGAUGUAAAAGGCAGUAGCUUAACUACUGUAAGCAUUUGAAACUGCAUAUCUUGAGAAGAGUAGAGGUAAGUGGAAUUUUUAGUGUAGCGGGGAAAUGCGGAGAUAUUAAAAAGAAUACCGGUGGCGAAGGCGACUUACUGGGCUCA